UGGAAAUUAAGUCAUAAUUAGUUUAAUGCUUUAAUAUAAAAAUGCAUCUAAAAUCCCCAAACAACUAUUGUUUGUGACUGUUGCUACUAAUCUGUUCUCUUAGUAGAACAUGGUUUAAAAAAAACAAGGUUUGCAUACUUAUAUAAUAUAAAUAAUUAUGCACAGGAUUCUACAGUCGGCUCUUUUACUAGAUGCAGAGGUGUGUGGGGAGAUGCCAAAUAGGAAGUGGUGCCAGUUCCUCUCCAAAUACUAUCAGAUUCAUUCUGUAUUCUGAAAGCACAUUGCUGGUCAGAAAGCUGAUCAGUUUAUUUGUCUUGGGGUUUUUUCUUUAGUCUGUUCUUAGGACAAAAAUCAUCAUCAUCAUGUACCUGAACUCUCCUGGAACAGCGAAUGUGUGCAUGUCGCUGAACUUCAUGGGAAAGAAGCUACGGAAUCACGUAGUUGCCCCAGCUACGAAGCAGCGGGCUUGGGAGACCACCAACCUAUCUCACUGCCCUGACGAGACAGCGGACCCUGCUGGCCUUGGACGUACCUGCCUGGCCGGGCCAGUUCAGGAGGAGCUGCCAGGCAGUAUGCCUGAUCUCAGGGAGAACGUUUGGAAAUGUCAGCCCUGCACCAUUCACAACACACACCUGGACCAGGUUACAGAAACAGGAGAGAAGAUAAAGACGGAAUAGUGCCGAAGAAUAAGUUCUGAACUGUGUUCACUGAAUAUGUGUGAUUUAGUUUCUAAAAAUAUGACUCAUCAUAAAACUGCAUGGAAAAGUUAGAAUUCCAAUUCUGGAUUUAAGAAGAGAAAAGGACUCACUUAUCCUGACACAUAUCAUGAAUAGUGGCAGGUUCUGUUGGACUUCUGAGUAUAGUACCAUAAGACAUGUGAACAAUAAUUAAAAAAUAAUAAAACC
rnacentral:lncRNA from 1 species